rnacentral:rRNA from 1 species
UACGUAGGGGCAAGCGUUGUCCGGAUUAUUGGGCGUAAAGAGCGUGUAGGCGGUUAGGUAGGUCCGUUGUGAAACUCGAGGCUCAACCUCGAGACGCCGAUGGAAACCAUCUGACUAGAGUCCGGAAGAGGAGAGUGGAAUUCCUGGUGUAGCGGUGAAAUGCGCAGAUAUCAGGAAGAACACCCGUGGCUAAGGCGGCUCUCUAGUACGUGACUGACGCUGAGACGCGAAAGCGUGGGGAGCAAACAGG